rnacentral:rRNA from 1 species
GACGAACGCUGGCGGCGUGCUUAACACAUGCAAGUCGUACGGAAAGGCCCUGCUUUUGUGGGGUGCUCGAGUGGCGAACGGGUGAGUAACACGUGAGUAACCUGCCCUUGACUUUGGGAUAACUUCAGGAAACUGGGGCUAAUACCGGAUAGGAGCUCCUGCUGCAUGGUGGGGGUUGGAAAGUUUCGGCGGUUGGGGAUGGACUCGCGGCUUAUCAGCUUGUUGGUGGGGUAGUGGCUUACCAAGGCUUUGACGGGUAGCCGGCCUGAGAGGGUGACCGGCCACAUUGGGCCUGAGAUACGGCCCAGACUCCUACGGGAGGCAGCAGUGGGGAAUAUUGCACAAUGGGCGGAAGCCUGAUGCAGCAACGCCGCGUGCGGGAUGACGGCCUUCGGGUUGUAAACCGCUUUCGCCUGUGACGAAGCGUGAGUGACGGUAAUGGGUAAAGAAGCACCGGCUAACUACGUG